GAUUAGUAAACAAAAGUUGCGGAAAGUUGAAACUCCUGAAGUUCAGCAAGAAAGGGAACGUUUGGGGAAAGAACGUUGCAACCUGACGCCACAUUUUCUUCAUAUAUCAUCUCAAUAAAGUAAAGUAUGGCGACAGGCGUCCAACAUAACCUGAUGAAGCAGGCACAGUGCUUUUGGUCAAUGCUGGAUGAGCUUGCAGAGACCGAUGAAGAUGCAUACAGGAAGUUCAUGGCCACAAACCUCCAAAGAGGACAGCAAGAAUUGACACCGGCCAAGCCAUGGAUGUGUGUCAAGACCCGUAUCAUGGAAGAAUUGACUCUUCUAGUCACAGACAAUACGAGUUACGUCUGCCACUACCAGAGACAAUACAAGAAGACCAUUCCACAGCCAAUUCAGCAGACAACGUCAUCACUCACUGUUGCCAUGCCAACCAGGAUGGUA